UACGUAGGGCGCAAGCGUUGUCCGGAAUUACUGGGCGUAAAGCGUGCGCAGGCGGUUUUGUAAGCCAGAUGUGAAAGCCCCGGGCUCAACCUGGGAACUGCAUUUGGGACUGCAAGGCUGGAGUACGGCAGAGGGAGGUGGAAUUCCACGUGUAGCAGUGAAAUGCGUAGAGAUGUGGAGGAACACCGAUGGCGAAGGCAGCCUCCUGGGCUAGUACUGACGCUCAUGCACGAAAGCGUGGGGAGCAAACAGGA
rnacentral:rRNA from 1 species